rnacentral:rRNA from 1 species
UACGGAGGAUGCGAGCGUUAUCCGGAUUUAUUGGGUUUAAAGGGUGCGUAGGCGGACUGUCAAGUCAGCGGUAAAAUUGAGAGGCUCAACCUCUUCCCGCCGUUGAAACUGGUGGUCUUGAGUGGAUGAGAAGUACGCGGAAUGCGUGGUGUAGCGGUGAAAUGCAUAGAUAUCACGCAGAACUCCGAUUGCGAAGGCAGCGUACCGGCAUCCAACUGACGCUAAGGCACGAAAGCGUGGGGAUCAAACAGG